UGCUGCAGCACCUAAAAGAAGAGAGACUUCAUGAUUUCUCUAAGAUUUAACAUGGAUGUCUCUCUUCUCCUAGGGCAGGAUCCUUCUUCACUGGCUUCAACAGGACCUUAAAGUGCAAAUCUGGAGCAGAUAAAUAUAACGACGUUACUUGGGAGCACUAACUGAUAGAUGAGAGCACUGAGGACAAACUCGUGAAAUGGGACUAUGGAAACUAGAAUGGAGCUGUGACAAUAAAUAUUUCCAGUUCUAGCAGGUAGUAGCCCCACCCCCCGCUCAGGCAAUACCCCCCAAGGCAGUGGGUGGAGACAGAUGCAGAAGCUGGGUCAGCAGCACCUGCCGGAGGGGAUGAGACUGCUCCUGAUACGACCGUAAAGAGCCACAUCCCCCGAGGCCGGAGGAAACCCCACUCCCACCUACAGGAGAGCGAGCUGAGGGAAAAAGAAACCCGUGCCAUGAAUCAGUGCACAAGGCAUUCAUAGCAUUAAAGCAACAGCAAUUCUACAAUCUACAAAACGCAGGAAUGCUAGCUUCCUCAUAAGAACGCAGAGACAGUAAAGACCACUCGGCCUGCUUGGAUUUCUUUAUGCAUCAGGCUGGAAAAGAAAAUGUA